AUGAAAGUCUCAGCCACCCUCUCCAGUGCCAAAGUCCCUCCGUCUAACCUCACAUUACAAGAAAAGAAGGCCGUCGCUUCCCUGAGCAAAGACCACAACAUCACUAUAUUGCCAGCCGAUAAGGGAAGGUGCACCGUGGUCCUAAACACAACAGAUUACCACACAAAGAUCACUACUCUCCUCGGUGACAACAAUACCUACGAAGCCUUAAAGCGAGACCCCACAAGCAGCUACAAAAAGAAAGUUAUAGCUUGCCUUCAAGACCUUGAAAGGGAUAAAAUCAUCGACCACCUUACAUAUCACCGCCUUUACCCAGGGGAUGCCAUACCCUGUAUCUACGGACUUCCUAAGAUCCACAAGGAAGGUAUCCCUCUCAGACCCAUUGUCAGUAGCAUAAAUUCAGCCACCUACAACAUCUCGAAACACCUUGCUACCAUCCUUGCACCUCUCGUGGGGAACACCCCACACCACAUCAAGAACUCCACCGACUUCACCGACAAGGUCCAGAAACUUACCCUGGAUCCAGAUGAAACCAUGGUGUCCUUUGAUGUAGUCUCUCUCUUCACUUGCAUACCCACCACGGAGGCAGUGGAGACUGUCAGAAAACGACUACAAGAAGACAGCUCCUUGGAAGACAGGACCAACUUCACACCCGAUCAGAUCUGCACACUGUUAGACCUCUGCCUCACCACAACAUACUUCAAAUACAACGAAGGCUUCUACAGACAAAAACAUGGCUGUGCCAUGGGCUCCCCUGUGUCACCUAUUGUAGCCAACCUUUACAUGCAGGAAGUGGAAAGGAAGGCUCUCGGCUCUUUCAAAGGAAGAGUACCCAGCCACUGGUACAGAUAUGUAGACGACACCUGGGUCAAAAUCAAAAGACAAGAAGUGGAAUCCUUCACUGCACACAUUAACGCCGUGGAUAAAAACAUCAAGUUCACCAGGGAAGACACAAAGGAUAACUGCUUGCCUUUCCUGGACUGCGCUGUGCACAUUGAAGAGAAUGGCAACCUCAACAUUGAAGUUUACCGGAAGCCCCCACUAGGGCUGGGCCAUAUUAUACUAGGGCUGGGCGAUAUAUCAAAAAUUUAUCGUUACCGAAAUUUAUGA
rnacentral:lncRNA from 1 species